GAGCCCGUGGCUCAAUGGUAGAGCGUUCGACUGAAAUACCAAAGGUCUCGGGUUCGAAUCCUAGGUGUUCC
rnacentral:tRNA from 1 species